rnacentral:rRNA from 1 species
UCUACGGGUGGCAGCAGUAGGGAAUUUUCGGCAAUGGGGGGAACCCUGACCGAGCAACGCCGCGUGAACGAAGAAGUUAUUCGUAAUGUAAAGUUCUUUUAACAGGGAAGAAAGAGAAAUUUGACGGUACCUGAAGAAUAAGCUCCGGCUAACUACGUGCCAGCAGCCGCGGUAAUACGUAGGGAGCGAGCGUUAUCCGGAAUUAUUGGGCGAAAAGGGUGGGUAGAUGGUAUAGUAAGCAUUUUGUAAAAAUGCUGGGGUAAACCCAAUAGGGCAAAAGAUACUGGAAAGCUAGAGUAUGACAGAGGUAAGUGGAAGUACGGGUGUAGCGGUGAAAUGCGUAAAUAUAUGUAAGAACACCAGUGGCGAAGGCGGCUUGCUGGGUUGAUACUGACAUUGAGGCACGAAAGCGUGGGGAGCAAACAGGAUUAGAUACCCCUGUAGUC